GCUAACUUAGCUCAGUUGGUAGAGCAGCGCAUUCGUAAUGCGCAGGUCAAGAGUUCGAGUCUCUUAGUUAGCUCCA
rnacentral:tRNA from 1 species